rnacentral:misc_RNA from 1 species
AUGAGAACGUGCCCUCCGGGGCAGAUCUCCCACCCUUUGUUUACAUUACCUUUGUUGCUUUGGCAGGCCCGCCCUCGGGCCGCCGGCUCCGGCCGGCCAGCGCCUGCCAGAGGACCCCAAACUCUUAUUAUCAACGUCGUCUGAGUACUAUAUAAUAGUUA